UCGGGAAUUUUGGGCAAUGGGCGAAAGCCUGACCCAGCAACGCCGCGUGAAGGAUGAAGUAUUUCGGUAUGUAAACUUCGAAAGAAUAGGAAGAAUAAAUGACGGUACUAUUUAUAAGGUCCGGCUAACUACGUGCCAGCAGCCGCGGUAAUACGUAGGGACCAAGCGUUGUUCGGAUUUACUGGGCGUAAAGGGCGCGUAGGCGGCAAUUCAAGUCAUCUGUGAAAUCUCCGGGCUCAACCUGGGAACUGCAUUCAAACUGACAAGCUAGAGUAUGGUAGAGGGUGGUGGAAUUUCCUGUGUAGCGGUGAAAUGCGUAGAUAUAGGAAGGAACACCAGUGGCGAAGGCGACCACCUGGACUGAUACUGACACUGAGGUGCGAAAGCGUGGGGAGCAAACAGGAUUAGAUACCCUCGUAGUCCCUGAGCGGGCUGGCAAGGCGC
rnacentral:rRNA from 1 species